GGAGGAUUUGCCAUCUAGAGCGAGUGACCUCCCUCACAUUUACAGAAGGAAGGAGCAAAAGGAGGAUUACUGCGGUAAAAUGGGAUGUUACCUGAGGAAAUGUCAGGUGGAAAUGUUGUAACUGACCUUGAUAGCUUUCGAAAAUACCUUGGCAAAUCCAAACCACUGACCCUGAACCCAGUGACUUUUCAUGUGAUUCGGCUCUGACUUCUGCAGCGUUCUGGCAGUUCUUGGGGCUGAGAUGUCACUUCGUGUCUUGCUCUUCCUCCCCCUUUGCUUCCUUCUAGUAACCUCCCACACUUCAGGCUGUCCGGCGGCAUCCUGCGUUUCUUCGUUCACCAUCCCUCCAUCUGUCCGCUCCAUCCACAUCUCGUAUCUCCAUACUGAUGAAAACCACAGCAAACAUCCGUCCCGCUGAAAACAUCAAACAAGAUAAUCGAUCCUUGGGUAACUGCGGUACGACCAUGGUUUCCAUUAAAAAGUUUGUGUGUUUGUUGAUAAUUUCUUAGGAAGUCUUAUACCUAGGAAUUGAAGCACC